UGAGGAAUAUUGGUCAAUGGACGGAAGUCUGAACCAGCCAAGUAGCGUGCAGGACGACGGCCCUAUGGGUUGUAAACUGCUUUUGUAUGGGGAUAAAGUUAGGGACGUGUCCCUAUUUGCAGGUACCAUACGAAUAAGGACCGGCUAAUUCCGUGCCAGCAGCCGCGGUAAUACGGAAGGUCCAGGCGUUAUCCGGAUUUAUUGGGUUUAAAGGGAGCGUAGGCUGGAGAUUAAGUGUGUUGUGAAAUGUAGACGCUCAACGUCUGACUUGCAGCGCAUACUGGUUUCCUUGAGUACGCACAACGUUGGCGGAAUUCGUCGUGUAGCGGUGAAAUGCUUAGAUAUGACGAAGAACUCCGAUUGCGAAGGCAGCUGACGGGAGCGCAACUGACGCUUAAGCUCGAAGGUGCGGGUAUCAAACAGGAUUAGAUACCCUGGUAGUCCGCACAGUAAACGAUGGAUGCCCGCUGUUGGUACCUGGUAUCAGCGGCUAAGCGAAAGCAUUAAGCAUCCCACCUGGGGAGUACGCCGGCNCGGU
rnacentral:rRNA from 1 species